rnacentral:rRNA from 1 species
AGUGAGGAAUAUUGCACAAUGGGGGGAACCCUGAUGCAGCAACGCCGCGUGGAGGAUGACGCAUUUCGGUGUGUAAACUCCUUUUAUGUGAGAAGAAAAUGACGGUAUCACAUGAAUAAGCACCGGCUAACUCCGUGCCAGCAGCCGCGGUAAUACGGAGGGUGCAAGCGUUACUCGGAAUCACUGGGCGUAAAGGACGCGUAGGCGGGAUGCCAAGUCAGAUGUGAAAUCCUAUGGCUUAACCAUAGAACAGCAUUUGAAACUGGCAACCUAGAGUAUGGGAGGGGGAGAUGGAAUUAGUAGUGUAGGGGUAAAAUCCGUAGAUAUUACUAGGAAUACCGAAAGCGAAGGCGAUCUCCUGGAACAUAACUGACGCUAAGGCGUGAAAGCGUGGGGAGCAAACGGGAUUAGAUACCCCGGUAGUCCACGCCCUAAACGAUGAACACUAGUCGUCGGGAUGCUAGUCAUUUCGGUGAUGCACUUAACAGAUUAAGUGUUCCGCCUGGGGAGUACGGUCGCAAGAUUAAAACUCAAAGGAAUAGACGGGGACCCGCACAAGUGGUGGAGCAUGUGGUUUAAUUCGAAGAUACGCGAAGAACCUUACCUAGCCUUGACAUUGAAGAAACACACUAGAGAUAGAGUGGUACCCUUCGGGGAAUCUGAAAACAGGUGCUGCACGGCUGUCGUCAGCUCGUGUCGUGAGAUGUUGGGUUAAGUCCCGCAACGAGCGCAACCCUCGUCCUUAGUUGCCAGCAGGUUAAGCUGGGCACUCUAAGGAGACUGCCUUCGUAAGGAGGAGGAAGGUGAGGACGACGUCAAGUCAUCAUGGCCCUUAUGGCUAGGGCUACACACGUGCUACAAUGGGGCGUACAGAGAGUUGCGAUACCGCGAGGUGGAGCCAAUCUCAUAAAGCGUCUCUCAGUUCGGAUUGAAGUCUGCAACUCGACUUCAUGAAGCUGGAAUCACUAGUAAUCGUAGAUCAGCAAUGCUACGGUGAAUACGU